AUUGAACGCUGGCGGCAGGCCUAACACAUGCAAGUCGAACGAGUGGCGGACGGGUGAGCAAUGACUGGGAAACUGCCUGAUGGAGGGGGAUAACUACUGGACACGGUAGCUAAUACCGUAUACCAUCAGAUGUGCCCAGAUGGGUUUAGCGAGUUGGUGGGGUAACGGCUCACCAAGGCGACGAACCAUAUCUGGUCUUAGAGGAUGACCAGCCACACUGGAACUGAGACACGGUCCAGACUCCUACGGGAGGCAGCAGUGGGGAAUAUUGCACAAUGGGCGCAAGCCUGAUGCAGCCAUGCCGCGUGUAUGAAGAAGGCCUUCGGGUUGUAAAGUACUUUCAGCGGGGAGGCGUUACCCGCAGAAGAAGCACCGGCUAACUCCGUGCCAGCAGCCGCGGUAAUUC
rnacentral:rRNA from 1 species